UACGUAGGGGGCAAGCGUUGUCCGGAAUUAUUGGGCGUAAAGAGCGCGUAGGCGGUCCGAUAAGUCGGCUGUGAAAGUCAGGGGCUCAACCCUUGGAAGCCGGCCGAUACUGUCGGACUAGAGUCCGGAAGAGGCGAGUGGAAUUCCCGGUGUAGCGGUGAAAUGCGCAGAUAUCGGGAGGAACACCAAUGGCGAAGGCAGCUCGCUGGGACGGUACUGACGCUGAGGCGCGAAAGCGUGGGGAG
rnacentral:rRNA from 1 species